rnacentral:rRNA from 1 species
CCGAAGGUAAAGCCAUUGAUUGGGGCUAAGUCGUAACAAGGUAGCUGUAUCGGAAGGUGCGGCUGGAUCACCUCCUUUCUAUGGAG